UAAGGGAGACCAAACCCAUUAAGCACCGAAAACAACAAUUAGGUAUUGAUGAGGUCAACCUAGGUCGUGGCGAAGCAAGUGUGGCUUUUCAACUAUAGUUAGGUUUGGAAAAAGGGCUAUUAGCUCAGGUGGUUAGAGCGCACCCCUGAUAAGGGUGAGGUCCCUGGUUCGAGUCCAGGAUGGCCCACCUUGCAAAAGUAGAAAGUAGAAAUUAUUUGCCUAGAAGGCAAAUAAUAGCAACUUAAAACAAAUCCGACUGGAAGGCUAGCUCUGUUGGUAAAGCGAGGGCUUUACAAGAGGAUGUCAAAAAUUUGGGUCUGCUUACCUCCACUUAAGAAAACAUAGUAAAUAGUUCAGUACCUUGACUAAUAUUUAGUCAGAAUACUGAGCAAAACUCAGUCAGAACCUUGAAAACUGCAUAGAGAAAGCAAAUAGCAGGCAGAUCCAAGAGGGUAACACCUCAUGUAUCUGACAAAAUGAACU
rnacentral:tRNA from 1 species